GUACAUUCUGAACAGCUGGGUAAUCUCUUACACCACUCACAGGAAGAAAGAACAACCACAUUUGUCAGAGAUUUGGAAGGCUUUUAAGUGCCUGUGGAGGGACGACCAGAGUCAACAUGGGGUUGCCUGAACUUCAGAAGUGUUUAGAGACCUCUGCACAGGCCUCUGACCAACUCUUAGAACAGACGGAAGGAGUUGGAAGUUUUAAAACUCUCGACCUGAACUCACUCAAAGCAACAAUCAUGGAGGUGAACUGGAUGUUUUCCCCUGGUUCUAACACAGCGUGUUUCAAAAGAGUCCCAGCAUAUCAGAUCCAGCUGUGUAGAUUUCUACCUGGGCUACAUUUCUAACCGGGAAAAAUUGUGGAAAAGUAAGAAUUGAUACAACAGCAAAAAGGGUCCCAAGAGACAAUACCUUCACAUCAGGAAACUCAACUUCCACCACAUGAUCUUGAAUUUGGUCCCAGUUGAUCUUGUAGGAAACAAGGAGUUGAUCUCUGUCGGAUUUGUAUAGAAUAUUGUCAUAUCCCUCCAUUACCCUCACGUGGAAGUGGUUUGUGGAUAUUAUUAAUUUCUUUGUCCUUAUAUAGCCAUUAAUGGGGAUUGACAAGUUUUACAACUGAGAAACAUUAAAUAUUUGGGUCAUCACUUUUAUUGAAUCAACUUGGUGGGCGGCACGGUGGCACAGUGGUUCGCACUGCUGC